UGCCAGUAUAAUACUCCUCAGUGGGAAAACUCCUUACAACAGGCACUCGCCCUGCCAUCCUUAGCCUGUGCUCAUGAGGGGAAGGGAUCAGAUCCAUCCGUACUUCCCACCUGUUGCUAACUGAUCGAUCCUGUUUUCUUACACUUUGUACAUCACAAUAUUAUCAUGGGUAAAAUGAAGAGUGUUUCUCAGAAGUAUGCCUUGUGAUUUCUGGCCUGCUCAGACUGCCUGCUUCUUCCAGAUGAGAUGAU
rnacentral:lncRNA from 1 species